GAUUACAGGCAUGCACCAACACGCCCAGCUGAUUUUUGUAUUUUUAGUAGAGACAGGGUUUCACUAUGUUGGUCAGGCUGAUCUCAAACUCCUGACCUCAGGUGAUCCGCCUGCCUCAGCCUCCCAAAGUGCUGGGAUUACAGGGAUUACAGGCAUGAGCCACCAUACCCAGCCCAAUGUUUUUAAGUUUUUAAAGUUAUUUCUCCUGGGAGU
rnacentral:lncRNA from 1 species